GAUGAACGCUGGCGGCGUGCUUAACACAUGCAAGUCGAACGGAAAGGCCCAAGCUUGCUUGGGUACUCGAGUGGCGAACGGGUGAGUAACACGUGGGUGAUCUGCCCUGCACUUCGGGAUAAGCCUGGGAAACUGGGUCUAAUACCGGAUAGGACGAUGGUUUGGAUGCCAUUGUGGAAAGUUUUUUCGGUGUGGGAUGAGCUCGCGGCCUAUCAGCUUGUUGGUGGGGUAAUGGCCUACCAAGGCGUCGACGGGUAGCCGGCCUGAGAGGGUGUACGGCCACAUUGGGACUGAGAUACGGCCCAGACUCCUACGGGAGGCAGCAAUGGGGAAUAUUGCACAAUGGGCGCAAGCCUGAUGCAGCGACGCCGCGUGGGGGGUGACGGCCUUCGGGUAGUAAACUCCUUUCGCUAGGGACGAAGCGUUUUUGUGACGGUACCUGGAGAAGAAGCACCGGCUAACUACGUG
rnacentral:rRNA from 1 species